rnacentral:rRNA from 1 species
UAGGGAAUCUUCCGCAAUGGACGAAAGUCUGACGGAGCAACGCCGCGUGAGUGAAGAAGGAUUUCGGUUCGUAAAACUCUGUUGUUAGGGAAGAAAAAAUGUAUAGUAACUAUAUACAAAAGAGACGGUACCUAACCAGAAAGCCACGGCUAACUACGUGCCAGCAGCCGCGGUAAUACGUAUGUGGCAAGCGUUGUCCGGAAUUAUUGGGCGUAAAGCGCGCGCAGGUGGUUUAGAAAGUCUGAUGUGAAAGCCCACGGCUCAACCGUGGAUGGUCAUUGGAAACUAAUAAACUUGAGUGCAGGAGAGAAGAGUGGAAUUCCUAGUGGAGCGGUGAAAUGCGUAGAGAUUAGGAGGAACACCGGUGGCGAAAGCGGCUUUUUGGCCUGCAACUAACACUGAGGCGCGAAAGCAUGGGGAGCAAACAGG